rnacentral:rRNA from 1 species
GGAAGGUUACCAAGGAAAGGGAAUCCCGGACCCAACACAUAGCAAAAGAACCGGCACGAGCAAUAAGGAAAAAGACGGGGGGGUGAGUAAUAGGGGGUAAGGAAGCGUUCGGUUAGAAUAAGACCAGGGAAAUUGGGUUUAAACCCUGAACGUUACGGGAAGGAGAGAGGUAUAUCUAGGAAGGAGAUGCAGUAGUGUAUUAGAUGGUUGGUGGGUAACGGGUUACGAAAGCGAGGAUCAGUACAUGGUGAGUGAGACACGUCACAGACUCUGAGCGUGAGACAUCAGUGGAGAAUCUUGGACGAUGGGGGCAACCGUGAUCCAGCCAUAUCGCGUGAAUCAAGAAGGCCUUAGGGUUGUGAGGCUGUUUCGUCCGGAACGAUACAGUGGAUGUUAACACCGUCCAUUAAUGACGGUACCGGAAGAAGAAGCACCGGCUAACUACGUGCC